rnacentral:rRNA from 1 species
CCAAUAGCGUAUAUUAAAGUUGUUGCGGUUAAAAAGCUCGUAGUUGAAUUUCGGGAUCAAGGGAUUGGUCAUGCCUCGGUAUGCACUGGUCUUAUUGGUUCUCACCUUCUAAAGAACCAUGAUGUCAUUCAUGUGAUGUUAUGGGGAAUUAGGACUGUUACCUUGAAAAAAUUAGAGUGUUUAAAGCAAGCUUACGCUUGAAUACAUUAGCAUGGAAUAAUGAAAUAGGACAUCAGAUUCUAUUUUGUUGGUUUCUAGGAUCGAUGUAAUGAUUAAUAGGGAUAGUUGGGGGCAUUAGUAUUCAAUUGUCAGAGGUGAAAUUCUUGGAUUUAUUGAAGACUAACUACUGCGAAAGCAUUUGCCAAGGAUGUUUUCAUUAAUCAAGAACGAAAGUUAGGGGAUCGAAGACGAUCAGAUACCGUCGUAGUCUUAACCAUAAACUAUGCCGACUAGGGAUCGGAUGAUGUUAAUUUUUUUAAUGACUCAUUCGGCACCUUACG